rnacentral:rRNA from 1 species
UACGGAGGGUGCAAGCGUUAUCCGGAAUCACUGGGUUUAAAGGGUGCGUAGGCUGUUUGAUAAGUCAGUUGUGAAAUACCCCGGCUUAACCGGCGGUCGUGCGAUUGAUACUGUCAGACUUGAAUCAGGUUGAGGUAGGCGGAAUGUGGCAUGUAGCGGUGAAAUGCAUAGAUAUGCCAUAGAACACCGAUUGCGAAGGCAGCUUGCUGGACCUAGAUUGGCGCUGAGGCACGAAAGCGUGGGGAGCAAACAGG